AACGAACGCUGGCGGCAGGCUUAACACAUGCAAGUCGAACGCCCUCUUCGGAGGGAGUGGCAGACGGGUGAGUAACGCGUGGGAACCUACCCAAUAGUACGGAAUAACUCAGAGAAAUUUGUGCUAAUACCGUAUACGCCCUUCGGGGAAAGAUUUAUCGCUAUUGGAUGGGCCCGCGUUGGAUUAGGUAGUUGGUGGGGUAAUGGCCUACCAAGCCGACGAUCCAUAGCUGGUCUGAGAGGAUGAUCAGCCACACUGGGACUGAGACACGGCCCAGACUCCUACGGGAGGCAGCAGUGGGGAAUAUUCGGCAAUGGGGGCAACCCUGACCGAGCCAUGCCGCGUGUGUGAUGAAGGCCCUAGGGUUGUAAAGCACUUUCAACGGUGAAGAUAAUGACGGUAACCGUAGAAGAAGCUCCGGCUAACUUCGUGCCAGCAGCCGCGGUAA
rnacentral:rRNA from 1 species